GGGGUUGUAGCUCAGUGGUAGAGUGCUCGCCUAGCAUGUGUGAGGCCUUGGGUUUGAUCCUCAGAACCACA
rnacentral:tRNA from 1 species